ensembl:lncRNA
ACCCUGGCCGCUGCCAAGAAGCAGGUUUCACAGCGCUGGCGUCUGGGGACGGUGGCAGCAGGCCCACCCCGGCCCCAGGCCGGCUGGCCUGGGUGACACACACAACGGUUCAGAAGUACAGGUAGGAGGGUGUCCCGUCAAGGAAGUUCAAGGGGGGGUUCUGGGCAGAAGAGUCAGCGUGUGCACAGGGCCUGACAGAGCCCGGGGAGAAGGGGCGGGGCGGCGAGGGGGCGGCCGGCCUCACAAGACCUGGGUUCUGGGCCCGCCUUAGUCAUGACCUUGCUGUGGUGCCCGGAGCAAGUCCCUGCCCUUCUGGGCCUCGGGGCCCUGUCGGUGGGGCGGCAGGACCAGGUAUGUGCCCUACAGGCUGUUCCUUCCUGUCGGGGGUCCCCCGAGCCCUCCCCACCGUCCUGGCUGGUGGAGACCAGAGGCUCACCCUCAGAGAGGCUCGGCCGGGCCGGGAGCUGUGACUCAGCCGCCUCUGGGCUUCCGCACGGCCCAGCCCAGGACUAGGGCGGGAGUGGGAUAGGCUAUCCUUUCUGCCUUUGUGUGCUGGGACAGGAGGCAGCUUGGUAAAGGUACCAGCCCCUCCCCCACUGCUCCGACCCAGGGAGCCAGGCACCUUCCCUGGGCCCUCGCCUCUGUAAGCAGCAGGCCACUGGCCUGAGGACCUGAGGGCCUGGCAGCCACUGGGGCGGCAGGAGCUGGGGGAGGCGUGCAUAGCCGGGGAUGGGCUUACUUGCCUGGGCUGGGGGGAAACUCUUUGCCAGCCAGGCCGCAGCCUCUCCACUCUCCCCGGGCCAGCCACGUCGUCCUAGGCAGCCCUCCCGCCUGCCACGUUUCAGGGCCGUCCUGCCUCAUCCUACCCUACACAGACAUGAACUGGGGCCAGUCGGGGCCACCCACUGGUGUCUGGCCGGUAGCCUGGAACCUGCCACUGCUCUGCCCUAGCCGUGCAUCUAACCCCUGCGGGGCCCGACAAGGGCCUUGCUUCUCUGGCCUCAGUUUCCCCUUUCCUAUGACACGGGCACAGGACAGGACAAGAUGAGGAAAGCUCAGAGAGACCCUUUGGGCCCAGGAGUCAGGGCCUCUGUGACCCAGUGGCCUUGAGCACAGCUGUCACUCGUUUGCCACAUUUGCAGUCGCUGAAAGGGCCUCAGCGAGGGAGACGGCAUUGAACAAACUCCUAGUCGUGUGGCCAAGAAGACUCCUUAGGAACAAAGGAGCAGAGAGGGACGAGGUGAGGGGUCACGGAGGGCCUUGCCCCCGAGGUGACGUUUAAGCGGAGAUGCGGAGGAGGAGCUGGUGCCAGUGUCACUGAGAGAGGAACACACCAGGCUUCAGGGCCGGUCCGCCAGGCUACAGUGUCCCUGAGAAAGGGGCAGAGAGAGCUCCGGUCAUGGCUCGGGGUUAACGAACCCGACUAGGAUCCAUGAGGAAGUGGGUUCGAUCCCUGGCCUCGCCCUGUGUGUUGAGGAUCUGGCGUUGCCAUGAGCUGGGGUGUGGGUGGCACGCAGAUGCGGCCUGGAUCCUGCGUUGCUGUGGCUGUGGUGUAGGCCGGCAGCUGCAGCUCCGAUUUGACCCCUAGCCUGGGAACCUCCAUACGCCUCGGGUGCGAACAUAAAAAGACAAAAGACAAAAAAGAGAGAGAGAAAGGGGCAGGGAGGAACCCGCCAGGCUACAGGGCCGUGGGUCCUCCCUGGUGAGGAGCAAAGCCUGGUUAGGGCCAUGAGGUCAAGGAGCCCCCGGGACCUUAGAGAGGGCCCUUAACGCCCCCACACUUCAGUGUCAAAAUCGCUGAUUUGCAAGAUACUCAUGAGGAUUUAAUUAUAUGGCGCCCCGCAUGUCUCAGGGCCUUAGGCGCGUAGGCACGCAGUAAAUGGCAGCAGAGUGUCUUGUAAUGCCCUGUGCGCGUAGCAUUUAUAACCACGGGUUUGAUGACAUUUUAUAACCCGCUUCUCUUUGUUUGUCUUUCCCCUCCCUCUCUCCCCACCCCUCUCUCUCUCUCUCUCUCUCUCUCGUUCUCUCUUCUUUCUCGGCCACACCUGCUGCAUAUGGAAGUUCCCAGGCCAAGGACGGAAUCCAAGCCAGGGCUGCAACUCACACCACAGCUGCAGCAAAGCCAGAUGCUUAACUCGCUGCUUCAGGCCAGGGAUGGAACCAGGGCCUCCGCAGAGACAAGCUGGUCCAUUAACCCACUGUGCCCACAGCGGGAGGCCCAUGUUUUUCUUUACUCUUUUGCUCCCUCCUUUUUCUGGCCCCGCUUGCCGCAUAUGGAAGUUCCUGGGACAGGGACUGAACUUGUGCCACAGCAGUGACCUCAACCACAGCAGGGACAACACUGGGUCCCUAACCAGAUGAGCCACCAGGGAACCCUGUCAUUGGGCGUCUUGUCUGAAUGAGGGCUUUACUGAGAAGCGGCGGUGGGAAGGGUUGACUGAGUAGGGCUGAGACUUCAGAACAAGGAGGAGAGAAACUCUUGCUUCCGCAUGGGGGCGGGGGGUGGGGUGGUCCUAGGCAGCUGGGAGCUCGCCUCGAGGGAGAGGAAGGCCAGAGCCAACGUCUCCGCUCAGGAGGCAGACUGAUGGUGGCUGGGAAACACUUUGGCCGGGAGUCACUCAAAACGUCCUUCAGCCUAGCCGGCUUCGGGAGGGCUGGGGGCUCAGGGAACCACCCCAGGCAGAGCUGGACGUGUUGGCAGGGACUACGCCCUUCCACUGACCCUGCGGGACAAGCCGGGAGCGGGGAGAGUGCGGCAGAGAGAGGCCCACAGGAGUGAGUUCAGAGAGAUGAUCAGAAGAAGGCUGGGCUGGGCUCUGAAUCUCAAACCACCGGGUCCUUACAAGCUUGGAGGGCCCCGCGCAUGGAGAGGCGACCCCUGGCCGCCUUAAACUUACAU